UACAUGUGUAGAUGUACAGUAAUCUACAGAUGCACAUGUGUAGAUGUACAGUAAUCUACAGAUGUACAGUAAUCUACAGAUGUACAGUAAUCUACAGAUGUACAGUAAUCUACUGAUGUAGAGGCACAGUAAUCUACAAAUGUACAUGUGUAGAUGUACAGUAAUCUACAGAUGUACAAGUGUUGAUGUACAGUAAUCAACUGAUGUACACGUGUAGAUGUACAGUAAUCUACAGAUGUACAUGUGUAGAUGUACAGUAAUCUACUGAUGUAGAGGCACAGUAAUCUACAAAUGUACAUGUGUAGAUGUACAGUAAUCUACAGAUGUACAUGUGUAGAUGUACAGUAAUCUACAGAUGUACAUGUGUAGAUGUACAGUAAUCUACAGAUGUACAUGUGUAGAUGUACAGUAAUCUACAGAUUUACAUGUGUAGAUUUACAGUAAUCUACUGAUGUACAUGUGUAGAUGCACAGUAAUCUACAGAUGUACAUGUGUAGAUGUACAGUAAUCUACAGAUGUACAUGUGUAGAUGUACAGUAAUCUACUGAUGUACAUGUGUAGAUGUACAGUAAUUUACAGAUGUACAUGUGUAGAUGUCCAAUAAUCUACAGAUGUACAAGUGUAGAUGUACUGUAAUCUACAGAUGUGCAUGUGUAGAUGUACAAUAAUCUACAGAUGUACAUGUGUAGAUGUACAGUAAUCUACAGAUGUACAUAACAUUGAGACCAAUGUCCUCCUACACACGAGGACCUCGCUGGAACUCUUACCACUGACGGGUUUAUCAAAGUUUUAUCACAAGUUGGGUUUAGUUAAACAUACAACAAGACCGUGUGUAUGUUUGUGGUUUGUAUAAGUUUUUGUGUGUUGGUUGUAUGAUAAAUAUAUCCAAAGGUUACUUGAUCAACCAGGCUGUGACUUUAGGCUGUGAGCAGACGUGUCUAACAGCCUGGAUGACCAGAGCAGCAGCCAGGAGACAUGGUCGGUGACCAGACCAGGAGACAUGGUCGGUGACCAGACCAGCAGCCAGGAGACAUGGUCGGUGACCAGACCAGCAGCCAGGAGACAUGGUCGGAGACCAGGGGUCAUGGUCCCCAGAACGACCAACUGGUAGACUACAAGUGGGUGGUAUGAAUGUGUAUGAUGGUGGAUUAAAGGAUCUCUUGUGUCGGCGAUGAGUCACAAUAACGUGGCUAAAUUAUGUUGACCAGACCAUUCUCAAGUCGAUUGUCACAAUCGACUUGAGAAUGGUCCAGGACGGACCGAAACGUCGUCGUCCCUUCACCUUCUAGUGUGUGGUCUGGUCAACAAAUUUCUUGUGUCCAUUGUAAGAAUGAGUUUUUAUGCUGUAGUAUUAAUGAGCUUUGGUACGCAAGUGGUAUGGAUGGGUUUUGUUAUAUUAAUGAUAUAAAUAAUUUGUUUAUACUGGAUAUAUGAACAGAUAUGGUAUGCUGAUGGCAUGAAUAUGUUUUAGUAUGCUGGAGGUAUGAGUGAGUUUUAGUAUGCUGGAGAUACCUUCCUUGAGGUUGUUUCGGGGCUUAGCGUCCCCGCGGCCCGGCCUCUUCAUUGCUGGACUGGUCAACCAGGCUACUGGACGCCGCUGCUCGCAGCCUGACAUAUGACUCACAACCUCGUUGAUCAGGUAUCCUCUGGAUACCUGAUCCUCCAGGUAUCUCGAGUGUUCAUGAGUGUUCUGUCAUGAACACUGUGAGAGGUUGGCCAGUUAUGCCCCUUAUGUGUACUGAAAUAGUAUAAAUAUAGUGGAAGGGAUAGAUAAGCAGCCUUCCAGUCUGUAGUGGAAGGUAUAAAUAAGCAUUUGUUUGCUGAUUUUAUGAAUAAGUUUUGGUAUGAACUUGAUAUAUUUGAAUUUUCUACACUUUAUUAUCAAUAUGACUUUAUUUACUAUUGUUUAUUGAAUCGCUAUUAUUAGUCUUGGCUCUUUAUUUGUUAAGGGAUCUUAGUUAUUGUAACAUUUUAUUAAGGAUUUUAGGCAUUGAGAAUUUUUGUCUGACUUUUAGGCUGCCUUAACCUUAUUAUCAUCAAGAUUAAGCAGGAGCAUAUAUACAUCUUUGAUAUUUUAAGUUGCUUAAUGUACAACUAAAUACAGUAAGUUGCCUAUUGCAAUUUACCAUAAUGCAUUAAGCAGCUUACUGUAUAUAUGUUUUUUAGUAUUAUCAGUAUUCUUUUGUAAAUUUGCUCUAAUACAGUAGCUAGCUUUUGGGCACUUACUUUAUUACAGUAAUUAACGUACUGUACAAGAUAUUUCAUACAGUAUGCAGCUUACUGUUCAAGUAGUUUAAUACAGCAAGUGUCCUUCUGCACACUUAAAUGUAUAAUUACUUUAGUAAAGAAACUGCAAUAUGUACACCUCCUUUGAUACAGUAAGUAGUACUGUACUAUAUUUUUUAUAGUUCAGUACUGCAAGUAUUAAAGUAAAUACAUGCAUUAUCUGAAAUAAAGUAACAUAUAAGUUUAAACAA